AGAGGGAGCCUGAGAAACGCUGACCACAUCCAAGGAAGGCAACAGGCGCGCAAAUUACCCACUCCCGACUCGGGGAGGUAGUGACAAAAAAUAACAAUACAGGAAUCUUUCGAGGCACUGUAAUUGGAAUGAGUACACUUUAAAUCCUUUAACGAGGAUCCAUUGGAGGGCAAGUCUGCUGCCAGCAGACUGCGGUAUUUUCAGCUCC